rnacentral:rRNA from 1 species
UAGGGAAUCUUCCGCAAUGGGCGAAAGCCUGACGGAGCAACGCCGCGUGAGUGAUGAAGGUCUUCGGAUCGUAAAACUCUGUUAUUAGGGAAGAACAAAUGUGUAAGUAACUAUGCACGUCUUGACGGUACCUAAUCAGAAAGCCACGGCUAACUACGUGCCAGCAGCCGCGGUAAUACGUAGGUGGCAAGCGUUAUCCGGAAUUAUUGCGCGUAAAGCGCGCGUAGGCGGUUUUUUAAGUCUGAUGUGAAAGCCCACGGCUCAACCGUGGAGGGUCAUUGGAAACUGGAAAACUUGAGUGCAGAAGAGGAAAGUGGAAUUCCAUGUGUAGCAGUGAAAUGCGCAGAGAUAUGGAGGAACACCAGUGGCGAAGGCGACUUUCUGGUCUGUAACUGACGCUGAUGUGCGAAAGCGUGGGGAUCAAACAGG